rnacentral:lncRNA from 1 species
UCAGUGCCUUUCUUAACUAAUCCUGUCACUGUAAAAUCCUACAGUCAUUCUUCCACACAUAAAGGGAAAACGGACUCACUAGGAGGACCUAGACUCUUUCAGCUUGAACUGUUAACCAAUGGUGGAAAUGCAAGAAUGCUGAAGUUGUGCCUUCAGAGCCAAUAGAGUGGAUUUGUGUGUCCCACAUGACUGUGUUUCCUCUGUCUUUCACAUGGGCAGUAUUUAGUUCAAUUCAGAACUGCAGAUAGUAUAGCGUGCAGAGCAGCAAUGGGAUGUCUGAGCACAAGUGGCUGACUUCCAGGCGACUUCAGGAAGCACAUUUGUACAUUUCUCCUGAAUUUAACUGGGAUUCUGCACCCUUGACACCCUCCGACCCUCCUUGUCUCUGCAGAAGGAGACAGCGACCUGCACAGCACAACAAAACUUUUGCAUUUUACAGACCACAAACCUCAGAAGAUCAUUGUGUGGAAGAAACACACUGGGCCAACUCAUCCUGUCCAUCUGACACAAAGCACAGCCCAUUUUGGUGUUCUUUCCAUUCUGAAGGAGUCUCAUAUCAGCACAGCAAGAGCAGACCUGCAAAAAAGAAUUCUGACCAGCUGAGCAUCGAGAACGCCUUCUGCAGAAGAAUUCUGCUCCCAAAUGCAAAUAAGAAAGAAGUUUGGGAAACUGCCAGCUCCUUGCACAAAGACUGAAUUACGAUGGGCAGAGAAGGGUGUUGGUAAGAGAAAAAUGACUGAAGUUGCAUCAUCUGUAUGCUUAAAAUCAUUGUGUGAAUUUUGAUUUUCCCCCCCUCCUUUCAGACAUUUGAGGAUGCGGUCAAGUCAAUGGAGUUCUGUUGUAGUGGUUGCUUCAGUGAACAUUCAACGCUGUCGGUGAGUUUGGAAUUAAAGUGAAAACCAUCGACCGUUGAUUGUACCCUCCAGCUAACCAUCCUCCUCCUUACUUCAUGCUUUCAGGCCUUAACACCGAAGAUAGCAACCUAACCAUCAUAUGAUGUUUCUCCCCCACCCUGCCAAGCUUUACAAAAAAGGUCACAAUCAACAUUCAUUGCUGUCGGUGGGUUUAACUUUGUGGACAAGCUCACUGAACAAUGAAUGCAACUGUGGCCCCACAUUUUACAGUUGCCGUUGAGAGGAACAGCAGCUCUGAAAGCAGUAGUGAGAAACAAACUUCUUAUAAGCUACAUUUUUCUGGUCAGAAAAACAGUUGGGAGUAUUCACUUUUUGCUUGCUUGUUUUUAAGUGUGUUUAACUUAGCUGACUAGAAAAAAAAAACACUGCCUUUUUCUGGAAUAUUGUCCUUACAGGGUUGAGUAUUACUGAAACCAUAAAAACUCUUAUUUAGUAUGUGUGCAGAAAUAAAUAACUGUACAGGAAACUCUGUAUAUCCA